AUGACGCGCCCAGAGAGCCGCUCCGCCCUUUCCUCGGCUUGGCUCCCACGGGCCCCCGCCUCCUGGGCCCGAGGCCCAGACAGGGCCUGGGAAGAGGGGCAGUCCGCGAGGAGCAGCCCAGGUGGGGCGAGGGCACCGGGACGCUAUCCCCUUCUGAGCUCUGAAGCAGCCAGGUCAGUGUCGGCUCCGCGAGUGCUGGAGUUCACGGUGACAGCCAGCGGAGCAUAUGAUGCCACGUGGAGAGACGAAGUACACGGGUCGGAUUCCACGCCGGGAGCCGGCCUGGAUCUGCGCUUUAGGAAGCCACUGUGGGCGACCCUGUCUUGUCACCAGAAACAGAUUAUUAGCGGAGGAAAAACCAAUUUCGCUCUCAAGGAUAAGCAACAAAAUGCUGAAGUGGGGAAAAGCCUACACAAAUGGAAACACACUGAACAAAAUCAAGCAGCGACCAGUUCCACAUGGUGAUACCAAAAUGCACUCCCACACUCUGGCUUGGCGGAAGAUAACCAGCCAGCUCUAAACAGUUUCAAACUCUCCCAAGGACUGCAGCAGCACUGGACACCCAGGAGAGUCUGAGAACAGUAUUGGAUUUCUUGCUAGGGUUACAAGUUUCACGAUCUUUGCAUGCAAAACUUGCCACUCGGAGAUCAGUGAACUAUUUUUAUUUGGUUUACUUACUGGCUUUCUGGAUGACUAGGUAGAGAUUUAACUAAAGAACCCUUCUGCUAUGGUCUGUGAUGAUGAAUUUUCCCGUAGUGCCAUUUCUAUAACGGAAUAGGCAAACUGGUCAUUUAGAAUGUGAUAUUCCUAAAUCACAUUCAUUUCAGUCUCAUCAGAGACUUUUAAUAAAUAAAAAUAAAGCACCA
rnacentral:lncRNA from 13 species